GAGUGAAGUGUUAUGGAGCUUAGUACCUGCACUUAAGUCUUAAGUAAUUGAAAGACAAAAUAAUUAAGUCAAGCACUAUUCCUCCUGUCUAUACUUCACCUUUGUUCUAGAGUUUUUCAAUAGUUAAAAUUAAAACUCAGAGUUCCUAGCAAUGAUCUCUCAAGUCUCUCUAUAUGUGGUAUUUGUGGAUCCUUACUAAAAUGUCACUUACCUAUAGCUAAUGGAAUAUUUAAGUGGAGCUCAUAGGAGUGAAAAACAGCUCAUAUGUAUGUUGUCUAAUCGAGCCAUGGAUCCAAAGGAACUCAGCAUAUAAUUAAGUCAAGAUGUGCAUGUGUGGUGGAGUAAAUGAUAGUAAUGGUAAAAAAUGUAUAAGUGAUAAUAAAACUUAUUUCUCAUUGCUCCUCAUAUUGCUAUCUCUCCUCUUCUUUGAUCUUUGCUUUGGGAGAACAUGGGCUAUCUUUUUCUUUUCUUUUUCUUAGGUGGGUAGUAGAUACCCCUAAUUCUACUGUCGGACACAUGUCCGUUUUUUUCUGCUCAAGUGGGUAUCUUUGUACCCCUAAUUCUACUCUGGACACUUGUCCAUUUUUACCUCCCGUCUCACUUUUUUUUCUUUCUCUUUCGAGGUUCCGGGCACUUGCCCCUUUUUAUUUCCUCGCAUAUUUCUGCAUAAUCCAUGCCACUUCUGCAUUGAAUCUUUUUAGAGAGAGAAUAACAACAUUUGGGACAGUGAGUGAUAAUAUUUUUAGCAAUUUUAAUAAUUGGUGGUGGAUGGUGUAGUAGAUGUGUGCAAGUGAAUAUCUUAAUUUAACCACAUCAAAAGCUCCUAAGGGUCUACACAGCUCGAUCAAACUCAGUGUGAAUAUAAGUAAAAGAUGUUAUAGCAAGUAUGGUUG
rnacentral:lncRNA from 1 species